GACGAACGCUGGCGGCGCGCUUAACACAUGCAAGUCGAACGGACUGGAUUCUUUCGAGAACGAGGUUAGUGGCAAACGGGUGAGUAACGCGUAGGCAACCUGCCUCCCGGAUAGGGACAACGGCUCGAAAGAGCCGCUAAUACCUCAUGAAGUAAUAAAGCCGCAUGGCAUUAUUAUGAAAGAUGCUUAUGGCAUCGCCGGGAGAGGGGCCUGCGUCUGAUUAGCCAGUUGGCGGGGUAACGGCCCACCAAAGCAACGAUCAGUAGCCGGUCUGAGAGGAUGAACGGCCACAAUGGGACUGAGACACGGCCCAUACUCCUACGGGAGGCAGCAGUGGGGAAUCUUCCGCAAUGGGCGAAAGCCUGACGGAGCGACGCCGCGUGAGUGAAGAAGGUCUUUGGACCGUAAAGCUCUUUUGUUGCAGGCGAAGGGUCAGGAGAGGAAAUGCUUCUGAUUAGACGGUAUGGAACGAAUAAGCCACGGCUAACUACGUGCCAGCCGCCGCCGUAACAC
rnacentral:rRNA from 1 species